rnacentral:sRNA from 1 species
UUACGGUUUGGCCGACGGUGGCCGAAGC